UACGUAGGGUGCAAGCGUUUUCCGGAAUUAUUGGGCGUAAAGAGCUCGUAGGCGGUUUGUCGCGUCUGCUGUGAAAUUUCGAGGCUCAACCUCGAACUUGCAGUGGGUACGGGCAGGCUAGAGUGCGGUAGGGGAGAUGGGAAUUCCUGGUGUAGCGGUGGAAUGCGCAGAUAUCAGGAGGAACACCAAUGGCGAAGGCACAUCUCUGGGCCGUAACUGACGCUGAGGAGCGAAAGCGUGGGGAGCGAACAGG
rnacentral:rRNA from 1 species